UACGGAGGGUGCGAGCGUUGUCCGGAAUCAUUGGGCGUAAAGGGCUCGUAGGCGGUCCAUCGCGUCGGGAGUGAAACGCUGGGGCUUAACCCCAGUCCUGCUUUCGAUACGGGUGGACUAGAGGUAGGCAGGGGAGAAUGGAAUUCCUGGUGUAGCGGUGAAAUGCGCAGAUAUCAGGAGGAACACCGGUGGCGAAGGCGGUUCUCUGGGCCUAAUCUGACGCUGAGGAGCGAAAGCGUGGGGAGCAAACAGG
rnacentral:rRNA from 1 species